rnacentral:rRNA from 1 species
AUUGAACGCUGGCGGAAUGCUUUACACAUGCAAGUCGAACGAUGAACCUUAGCUUGCUAAGGGGAUUAGUGGCGAACGGGUGAGUAAUAUAUCGGAACGUGCCUUGUAAUGGGGGAUAACCAGUCGAAAGAUUAGCUAAUACCGCAUACGCCCGGGGGGGGAAGGAGGGGAAUUUUGGGACCUACGGUUUUAGGAGCGCCCGAAACCUGAUUAGCUAGUUGGUGGGGUAAUGGCCUACCAAGGCGACGAUCAGUAGCUGGUCUGAGAGGACGACCAGCCACACUGGAACUGAGACACGGUCCAGACUCCUACGGGAGGCAGCAGUGGGGAAUUUUGGACAAUGGGCGCAAGCCUGAUCCAGCCAUUCCGCGUGAGUGAAGAAGGCCUUCGGGUUGUAAAGCUCUUUCGCAAGGGAAGAAAACUUACCAUCGAAUAAAUGGUGAGGCUGACGGUACCUGGAUAAGAAGCACCGGCUAACUACGUG